GAUGAACGCUGGCGGCGUGCCUAAUACAUGCAAGUCGAGCGAACGGACGAGACUUUUGCUUCUCUGCUGUUAGCGGCGGACGGGUGAGUAACACGUGGAUACCCUACCUAUAAGACUGGGAUAACUUCGGGAAACCGGAUCUCACACCGGAUCAUAUUUUGAACCGCAUGGUUCAUCAGUGAAAGACGGUCUUGCUGUCACUUAUAGAUGUUUCCUGGCUGCAUUAGCUAGUUGGUAAGGUAACGGCUUACCAAGGCUACGAUGCAUAGCUGAUCUGAGAGGGUGAUCAGCCACACUGGAACUGAGACACGGUCCAGACUCCUACGGGAGGCAGCAGUGGGGAAUAUUCGACAAUGGGCGAAAGCCUGACGGAGCAAUGCCGCGUGAGUGAUGAAGGUCUUCGGAUCGUAAAGCUCUGUUAUUAGGGAAGAAGAGAAGUGUGAGAAACUGUGCACAUCUUGACGGUACCAAAAGAGAAAGCCACGGCUAACUACGUG
rnacentral:rRNA from 1 species